rnacentral:rRNA from 1 species
AUACGGAGGAUGCGAGCGUUAUCCGGAUUUAUUGGGUUUAAAGGGUGCGCAGGCGGGCGAUUAAGUCAGCGGUGAAAGGCUCGGGCUCAACCGGAGCAGUGCCGUUGAUACUGGUUGUCUUGAAUGCGGUCAAGGCCGGCGGAAUGUGGCGUGUAGCGGUGAAAUGCAUAGAUAUGCCACAGAACACCGAUAGCGAAGGCAGCUGGCCGGGCCUGCAUUGACGCUGAGGCACGAAAGCGUGGGGAUCGAACAGGAUUAGAUACCCUGGUAGUCCACGCUGUAAACGAUGGACACUCGUUGUCGGCGACAGACAGUCGGCGGCCAAGCGAAAGUGAUAAGUGUCCCACCUGGGGAGUACGGUCGCAAGGCUGAAACUUAAAGGAAUUGACGGGG